UCAGGCAAGAUGAUCGCACGCACGCCCCUUCUCUGGCUGCUGGUUCUCUGGAUUCAGGACUCCUCUGGGCAAAUUGUGAUGACUCAGUCCCCGGAAUCUCUGGCAGUGCCAGUGGGAGGGAGAGUCUCUAUCAACUGCAAAGCCAGUACGAGUGUUGGCAGUAGCGUACAAUGGUACCAACAGAAACCUGGACAAGCUCCCAAACUUCUUAUCUACCUCGCCACCAACCUCCAGUCGGGGGUCCCAGCCCGGUUCAGCGGCAGUGGAUCUGGCACUGAUUUCACAUUCACCAUCAGCAACGUAGAAGCUGAAGAUGCCGGAGAUUAUUACUGCCAGCAGAGUAGCAGCUACCCUCUCACAGUGAUACAGACCAGUACAAAAACCUCUCUGCAGCACACGUUGCAGUUACUGCUUCCUGCAGAUACAACUGUCUAG